AUGAAUGGACUUAAAGCUGAAGACACAGCCAAGUACUACUGCAAUGUUCUGGCAGGAGUUUCAAUAACUGAAUCAGGAGGAGGAGUGAAGAGUCCUGGAGAUUCGCUUCGACUUACUUGCACAAGCUCUGGCUUCAAUAUCGACAGCUACUUCAUGGAAUGGUUCCGCCAGGCAGAUGGAAAAGGGCUGGAGUGGAUCGCGCGGAUAUAUCAGACCACCACGUAUAAAGCCAAUUCUUUGCAAGAUCGAGUCACAAUCUCCAAAGAAAGUUCCAGGAACCAAGUUUAUCUGGACAUGAAAGGACUGAAAGCUGAAGACACAGCCAAAUAUUACUGCAGCAGGGAACACAGUGGAGAAAAAUUAAUCUGA